rnacentral:rRNA from 1 species
CAUACCUAUUCGAAGGGAUAGGGUCGGUUUGGCCGGAUUUCACACAGGUGUUGCAUGGCUGUCGUCAGCUCGUGUCAUGAGAUGUUGGGUUAAGUCCCGCAACGAGCGCAACCCUCAUCCUUAGUUACCAUCAGGUUAUGCUGGGGACUUUAAGGAAACUGCCAGUGAUAAGCUGGAGGAAGGUGGGGAUGAUGUCAAGUCAUCAUGGCCUUUAUGGAGUGGGCUACACACGUGCUACAAUGGUGUCUACAAUGGGUUGCAAGGUGCGCAAGCCUAAGCUAAUCCCUAAAAGACAUCUCAGUUCGGAUUGUACUCUGCAACUCGAGUACAUGAAGUUGGAAUCGCUAGUAAUCGUGGAUCAGCAUGCCACGGUGAAUACGUUCUCGGGUCUUGUACACACUGCCCGUCACGCCAUGGGAAUUGGUUUCACUCGAAGCU